CCCUUAGAUGUCCUGGGCUGCACGCGCGCUACACUGAUGUGUCCAGUAAGCACCUAACCUAUUCCGAGAGGAGCGGGUAACCUUAGCAAAGCACAUCGUGAUGGGGAUAGAUUAUUGCAAUUAUUAGUCUUGAACGAGGAAUUCCUAGUAAGCACAAGUCAUCAGCUUGUGUUGAUUACGUCCCUGCCCUUUGUACACACCGCCCGUCGCUCCUACCGAUUGAAUGUUCCGGUGAGCUCUUCGGACUGCGCGGUCUGCAGUUUCUGCGUUCCGUGCGGAAAGUUGUGCGAACCUUAUCAUUUAGAGGAAGGAGAAGUCGUAACA
rnacentral:rRNA from 1 species